AAAUGAAUUGACGGGGACCCGCACAAGCAGCGGAGCAUGUGGUUUAAUUCGAAGCAACGCGAAGAACCUUACCAGGGCUUGACAUCUAUUUGCCAUUUGUAGAGAUACAAAGUUUUCUUCGGAAACAAAUAGACAGGUGGUGCAUGGUUGUCGUCAGCUCGUGUCGUGAGAUGUUGGGUUAAGUCCCGCAACGAGCGCAACCCUUGCCUUUAGUUGCCAUCAUUAAGUUGGGCACUCUAGAGGGACUGCCGAUGACAAAUCGGAGGAAGGUGGGGAUGACGUCAAAUCAUCAUGCCCUAUAUGUCCUGGGCUACACACGUGCUACAAUGGUCGGUACAGCGAGCAGCUACACAGCGAUGUGAUGCGAAUCUCACAAAGCCGAUCUCAGUUCGGAUUGCAGGCUGCAACUCGCCUGCAUGAAGUCGGAGUUGCUAGUAAUCGUGGAUCAGCAUGCCACGGUGAAUGCGUUCCCGGGUCUUGCACACACCGCCCGU
rnacentral:rRNA from 1 species